UCUGCUCACAGAGACACCUCAGCUCAUCCAAGUGUCUGCUCAGCGUAUUACACACUCAUAAAUCAUCAUCCCGUAUUCCUUUCAUUACAUUACGCACGCACGCAAACACCUACACAGUGGCGAAGAAGCUUAUCAUGCCUCUGUGUGUUUCCAUGGAAACAAGCUACUCUGCAGUGGACAACGAGGAAAAUGGAGGGCGGUAAGGAAGGGAAGGACGGAAAAAAAUAUAUACUAGGGGUGUUUUUUUCAUGUGUUUGUUUUCCCAAAUGAUUUGCUUAGGGUGAAUGUUUGGGGAGUGUAACUUACAUGUGUGUUUCUAGGCGGGCAUUAAAGGCAUUACCUUGCUUUUCCUUCUUUUCGUUCUCACAGAUCUGACAUGAGCGACUUUCUCCUUGCUCUCUUCCCUCUUCUCUGAUAAUCCCAACAGUUAAUUUCUCCUUCAUCCUUCAUCACUUUUUUUGGGGCAAAAAUGACCUUUCAUUUUUCGCUUCACACUGUUCUUCCCUUCCUAUAAUUUUCUCUUGCCCUCUGUGCAACCGAAUCCACUUUAGGAUCUAUUUAUCACACUGCGGACAGUGUAUGGCUCUUAAAUGGCUCUUCAAUAAGCCUGCCUGUUAAUGGAAGCAUCGAUUCUGGCUAGAAGUUGAACUAAUGUCGGAACUACUUGCUCAGGCUUUUUCGCCCGAGCGCUUUUCGGGCACAGUACGUGUCGCAAGACUCGAAUCACGGAAUGUCACACUUCCGGUUCUCGACUUUCCAACAAGUCCAGUUGGCAUAUCUGAUUGAGUCUGAGCAACACACACACACACACACACACACACACACAUGCAAUAUACUGCACCAAGGUAUAUACAUGUAUAUAUAGAACUUCUUCAAAGGAUGAGCAAAUCAUGCAAUAUUCAUUUUCUGAGCAGUUGGGGCAGCAGGAGAAACUAGAGCAUACGCGCAUAUCUAUCUUAAUAUGUUUAUGGGGAAUUUAAUUGAAAAUAGUCCAUCAUUUAAAUAUUUUAUCAGGAUGCCUUUGAAUUGUAUAUGGUAUGUCUUAUGGAAUAACUGUUACUAUAUAAAAAUCAUCUGACUAUCUUUACAUUUGCUAAAGUUUAUGUGCAACAAAACUGUAUUUUCUACUGCACUAUUCCUUCAUCUUUUCCUCAUCUACAUACAGUACUACAUUUAGUCUGUGUAGUUCUCAUUUUUUUUUAUUAUUGCUAUUUGUCUCUGGACUUUUCCCACCCCAUUCAAUACCAUUUUCAGUUUUGUGAGCUUUCUCUAAAGAUGAAGGGAUUUUGUAAAUCAUUUUUUUUCAUUAAUAAUUCAUCAUAUAGAAACUCACAAACACAUACUGUAUGUAGUGGGCAGUGACCACAUGUUGGUUCUCACAUUGCCGACAGGUUUACAGUUACUCUACAAGUGAUGAAAACAGCUUGACUUACAUGCUAUCUGAGAACAUUUUACUUUUUUUUUCAUUUCUUAGCAGUGCCUGGGUGCUCUGUUGUGCUAUUUGGCUAUAUGUCAUCACAGUACAAAUGUUUAUUGUCUGUUUAUGGCUGUGUGUAUCCCACGGGACAGCCUCCAACAGUCCUGUAAUAGUUGGCGAUGACCACCAGUAGUCAUGUGGAUGACUAAGCAGAAGUGCUACUUCUGUUGAACGAUGUUUAGGGCUGUUCCUGGUUCUAUUUUGGGCUUGUUGAUCUCUUUCUGCUGUUUGACAAAAAGGAGUAAAGAUGUAGACUCCUAUGUUAGUUUCUUGCAGUAGCUAGCUGUAAACUAGCCAACUGUCAUAGCCUUGGCAGUUGUGAUUAAGAUGUAGAUUGUUAUGUUUUAUGUAUUAAGAUUUUACAUUACAUUAGUCCAUCCAUCCAUUUUCUGAGCCGCUUAUCCUCACAAGGGCGCGGGAGUGCUGGAGCCUAUCCCAGCUAUCUCCGGGCAGGAGGCGGGGUACACCCUGAACUGGUUGCCAGCCAAUCGCAGGGCACACAUAAACAAAAAACCAUCCGCAAUCACAUUCACACCUAGGGGCAAUUUAGAGACUUCAAUUAACCUACCAAGCAUGUUUUUGGGAUGUGGGAGGAAACCAGAGUGCCCGGAGAAAACCCACGCAGGCACGGGGAGAACCAUUACAUUAGUGUUUGAUUUAAUUUUAUACAUGGAGUUAAACAAUGAGAACCAUGAGCUGAAUCAGCGACGUUUAUUACAUCUCUUCUACAUCAUUACACUUUGUGUUUUAUUGUUUUGUCAUGAAUGAAUGAAUGCACUGUGAGGAAGUGGUUAGCACAUGAGUGUUACAGUACAGUUUAGAAUCUUGGCUCCAGUCUUCCUGUGUGGAGUUUGCAUGUUCUCCAUGCGAUUGUGUGGAUUUCUCCAGGUAUUCUAACUUACUCCUACGUUCCAAAAACAUGCAUGUUAGGUCAAUUGAAGUGUGCUAAUGCGAGUAUAAAUGCUUGUGUGUCUUUAUGUGCUCUAUGAUUGACUGGUGACCAGUUCUGCGUGUACUGCGCCUCUCACCCAAAAUCAGUCAGGAUAGACGCUGGCUCACUGAUAAGGAUAACCAAUAUAGGAAAUGGAUGAUGGAAUCAAGACUGGUAACUACUGCUUAUUCUUACUACAAUUUGGGCUAAAAUAUUUUAUAGUGAUAGUCUUUUGUCUCAAAUGUUAUCAUAAUAUCAGAUAGGAAAAAUGAAAAUAAGGAGUGAAAGGUUUGUUUGCGUGCGUGUGAAUCCGUGUAUUAAGUGUGUGUGGCUUUCUAGCAGGAAAAUUGAUGUGAAGGAAAGAUUCUACACGGCACAUCUCACAACACGUUGUAUCACCAAUUGUGUGCAAUUGCGUGGCCAUUUUGUGUCUGUGUGUGUGAUACGGAUUGGAUAGAAGCACAGAAGAAGGGAGUGGUGACGCGAGAGGUUAAUUAGUCUGCACCAAGGCAGCAAACAAAAGACUACCAAUUCUUGAUUCAUGUCAUUAACGAGGGCAGACAAAGAAGGAAUGUUUAUUUUUUGUUCCCGUAUUGAUUCACAUUUCCCCUCAUGUGAUUAAUAAACUUAAUUCAUCUAUUUCUUAAUUUACUUUCUCCAUUUAAAUUGCUGUUGACAACAAAAGAAGCAAUAGGUGAUAUAAUUUUAAUGUAAUAUUUUUCAUCAUAUUUAUACUUAACACAAUAGUUGAUGCAGUUACAUUUACACUAAAUAUUAGAUUUUGGUUCCAAAGUCAUAUUAAAACACUUUUCAGGCCAUUUCAAGAUCAUUUUCUAACACCUUAACAAUGUGAUAAAUUUGAUAUUUUAUGAUUACAGUGUUCCCUCGCCACUUCGCGUAUCACGUUUUGCGGCUUCAGUGCUUCGCAGGUUUUCCCAAAAUAUUUAUAAAAAAUAAAUAAAUAAAUAAAUAAAUCAAAAGGAAAAAAUACACCCAUAUCGGCAGCAAUAUUGCGGAAAGACACGUUGUUUCAUGUUGAUGCGCGAGAGAGAAGGUUUCCCUGCAUGCCAACAAAGAGAUGAGUUGACUCAGAGGCUUUGUACAUGCCUGUACUGUACACUCAUACAAGGCGCGAGAUUGGUUCAGCAAAAAAGUGAAACUUUUAGAUAUGAUCAAAGAGGGCAGAAGUUAUGCAUCUGUGGCACGCCAUUAUGGCCUGACUGAAUCUACAGUGCGGUACAUCUGUCAUAUACUGCUCUGCAGUUCCAUUAUUGGAGCCGGGAGGGCGCUUUGCGUCCUCUCUCUCUCCCCCAUCCCCUCUCUGUUUUCAGCACCUGUCUCCAAUCAGCCUCAUCACCACCAGUAUAUAAGCCUACCUGUUCCAGGAAAUCCUCGCCAAAGUAUUGCAGUUACUUCCAGCGGACAAAGGCCAAAGCUCUCUACAAUCAAAUCUUUCCCGAGGACGAAGAAGGUGCUGACAAACCUGACGAAUCUACGAGUCAAGUGAGAGCCUCUCCACCAACGCAACCCUCUUCGCCUCUCUCAGAAGCAGACACAUGAGCUGCCAACAAACCAUAUGUGAGGAAGGACAUCGUUACACAACAAAAGCUUUUCCAACAGCACAGAAUCUCCAUCUGCUCUAUGUAACUGCAUGUGUGCUCGCACCUCCUUCCAAAAAUUCCAUCAAGGAAAUAAGAUUGACAGAGGAGCGAGACCGGAGGAGGUAGGAAUGUUUGUGGGAAAUGGGACAAUUGCUCCUCGAUGACAUCAUUUCAUGGAGACGUCUACUAAAGAUGACAUGACAUCACUGACGCAAAUGAACCUUUUGCGUGGCUGAAUUAUUAUUUCACCACAAAUGUCCACUUUAUUCUUUGACUUAGUGAGGUUAAAAUUUUGCUUGUAUUAUUGUAUUAUAUUGAAUGCAAAAACAGUGUGAAACCAUCAAAACGUUUUUUUAUGUGCCCAGAUUCAAAACGACAAAAUGACAACCUAAUUACUAGAGAAACCUUUGAAAUAGGUGGUUAGGCGAGUGUCCAUGAGUCAGUGUAAUUAAAUCAGUUUGGUAUCAAAUACUGGUCCAAACAGAAUAUACACUCAGCAAAGUAUGAAUAUACAAACAAAGCAAUCAAGGAAUGAGAAAACUAUAGAUUAACCAUUUUAUUAUAAGUCGUGCUCUGUUACUGAUCCAGCUAGUCCACGGCCAUUUUCGUAUGUCACUAUCGAGGAGCUAUAAGACUCCCGCAGAGAAUACAUCAGACGUCCCUGGAUUUAAGAUAGCCCGUGGAACAUUCUCAAUGCUCGAUCCUCGCUCAUUGAAGCGCGUUUAAGACAAUUAAGACACUCCUUAAUAUGGCGGCAUGAGAACAACUUCCAAGUCACUAUCAAUGUUUUGAGGAGCGAGGAGCUGGGAACAUUCCAAUUAAGAGACUUGCGAUGAGCACAUACAAUUGAUAUGUGUGUGUAUGUUAAGGUUGACCAGCAUUUACAACUAGACUUUACACAGAUCUGAUCGCUUGAUCAGUAUCGGCCGAUAAUUAGCAUUUUAUGCUGAUUGGGUGAUCGGCUUUAAUGUCAUAAUUCGCUGAUCCGAUCAAUGACUCUGCAAAAGACAUUUACUCCAGGUCGCCAUUGUGUACAGUAUAUUUGAAACCAGAAGCUAGUUCAUUUUUAGCCUUGUUGCCUGUCUUUUGACGUAGUACUGUAAAUAUCUGACCGCCAAUGAAGUUGUUUAAAAAAAUGUCUGCGGUGUGGGACAGACAACACAGAUCAGAUUACAAGACAAAUUUGGUCUUUCACGAUUGCACUAUGUCCGACUACUGCAAUAAAAUCUUACCACUGCAUCCCGUCUUUUACGAUCACUGGGCUUAAUCUUGUCAACUCAAACGCAACCGGAUACAUUUGUUACCA